rnacentral:ncRNA from 1 species
CCCCGACUUUUGGGAGGGGCGCAUUUAUUAGAUAAAAGGCUGACGUGGGCUCUGCUCGCUGAUCCGAUGAUUCAUGAUAACUCGACGGAUCGCAUGGCCUUUGUGCCGGCGACGCAGUAUUCAAAUUUCUGCCCUAUCAACUUUCGAUGGUAGGAUAGGGGCCUACCAUGGUGGUGACGGGUGACGGAGAAUUAGGGUUCGAUUCCGGAGAGGGAGCCUGAGAAACG